rnacentral:rRNA from 2 species
GUGCUUAACACAUGCAAGUCGAACGGAAAGGUCUCUUCGGAGAUACUCGAGUGGCGAACGGGUGAGUAACACGUGGGCGAUCUGCCCUGCACUUCGGGAUAAGCCUGGGAAACUGGGUCUAAUACCGGAUAGGACCACGGGAUUCAUGUCCUGUGGUGGAAAGCUUUUGCGGUGUGGGAUGGGCCCGCGGCCUAUCAGCUUGUUGGUGGGGUAACGGCCUACCAAGGCGACGACGGGUAGCCGGCCUGAGAGGGUGUCCGGCCACACUGGGACUGAGAUACGGCCCAGACUCCUACGGGAGGCAGCAGUGGGGAAUAUUGCACAAUGGGCGCAAGCCUGAUGCAGCGACGCCGCGUGGGGGAUGACGGCCUUCGGGUUGUAAACCUCUUUCACCAUCGACGAAGGUUCGGGUUUUCUCGGAUUGACGGUAGGUGGAGAAGAAGCACCGGCCAACUACGUGCCAGCAGCCGCGGUAAUACGUAGGGUGCGAGCGUUGUCCGGAAUUACUGGGCGUAAAGAGCUCGUAGGUGGUUUGUCGCGUUGUUCGUGAAAU